rnacentral:rRNA from 1 species
UACGGGGGGUGCGAGCGUUGUUCGGAAUUACUGGGCGUAAAGGGCUCGUAGGCGGCCAACUAAGUCAUACGUGAAAUCCCUCGGCUUAACCGGGGAACUGCGUCUGAUACUGGAUGGCUUGAGUUCGGGAGAGGGAUGCGGAAUUCCAGGUGUAGCGGUGAAAUGCGUAGAUAUCUGGAGGAACACCGGUGGCGAAGGCGGCAUCCUGGACCGAUACUGACGCUGAGGAGCGAAAGCCAGGGGAGCAAACGGG